rnacentral:tRNA from 1 species
GGGGGCGUAGCUCAGAUGGUAGAGCACUCGCUUAGCAUGCGAGAGGUACGGGGAUCGAUAUCCCGCACAUCCA